rnacentral:rRNA from 1 species
UACGAAGGGGGCUAGCGUUAAUCGGAAUUACUGGGCGUAAAGCGUGCGUAGACGGUCAUGUAAGUCGGGUGUGAAAGCCCCGGGCUUAACCUGGGAACUGCGAUGGAAACUAGCGAGCUGGAGUGUGGCAGAGGGGGGUGGAAUUCCGCGUGUAGCAGUGAAAUGCGUAGAGAUGCGGAGGAACACCGAUGGCGAAGGCAGCCCCCUGGGCUAACACUGACGCUCAGGCACGAAAGCGUGGGGAGCAAACAGG